GGGCAAGAAAGUCCACCAGGAAGUCUACCCCUGCGCGGCUCCUUUGGAAAGAGGUCCGCCGCCGCAGAGAUGAGGACUUUUCGCGACCGCCGGCUGGGGCAAGGGCCAGGGAAACGAGGAUCCUGACCAGGAAUUAGAGACACCGGGAGGAAGGAGGCCAGGAUGGACCAAGCUCAUCCCUAGCUGGUCUCAGCCCGUAUCUCUGUGGAGAAGGCCCCCAGGCCCAGACACGCCAGGUCUUGCUCCUACUGCUGCGUUCCCAUCUCCCCAGCUCAUCAUCUCUAAUCCGAAAUCUACCUCUGACAUCCAGCAAACUUCCUGACAAAGCCUUCUCAGGCCACCCCAGCCCACACUCAGCUGUCCCCUCCCAGAACGCCUCCUGCUUUUAUAAUUAAGACCAUACCGUUCAGUGC